GGAGUGCUCUGACUUGAGUGGCACUCCACAAAACCCCCGGCGCCUGUCUUUACGAAGCAAGCUCGCCGCCGCUGUCGUUGCGAGGAACCCUGCAGCAACAUAAACCGUGCAGUCGUGAAGUGCGAUGCAGAGCUAAAUCCCAAGCGUGGCAUUUGUUUGUCAGUAAAAGCGUUGUGCAUUUAUAUAUAUAUAUAAAGAUUGCUAAGGUUACAAAUAAAAUGUGCAGCCCUGCAAUUUCUCGUUCAUGUAAAACUUCUGGCGGAGCAGCCUUUACUAGAGGAAGCUCAAGUGAGCCCAUGCAGACACUGAGAUGGUAUUUGGCCUACUCAUCUACACUAGGAAGACGUCUUGAAAGAGGUGCGGAAUGGCGGCGCAACGGCAGCAGAGUGAAGUCUCCUGGAAUUGAAUUCUCCAGGAGACCAACGUCAAGAUGGAGUGCUGCUGCUGCUGCUACUGCUCUUGACUUCAAACCGCACUUGUCCACUGUCCAUUACUAAUGCAGCCCAUGGUCUCUCCACGACACUGCCAGGGCGCUGUCUGGUGUGACAUCGCAGCACGUUCUUCGGACUCGACUGAGUGAUGCGAGAAACAUUCCGUUAUUUAUCUAUUUUUGCACGCGGUGUCGUCUUGAAGCGUUAAAAUGCAUCCCCAAUUUGCGUGCGUCGUGUGGGCCGCGUUUAUCCCCGCGACCGAGCACGGCGGCUGUUAACUGGAAACACUCCACAGAAGUAAAUUCCUGUCUGACAGACCACCUCUCCUA